rnacentral:rRNA from 1 species
AUUGAACGCUGGCGGCAGGCCUAACACAUGCAAGUCGAGCGGAUGAGGGAAGCUUGCUUCCUGAUUUAGCGGCGGACGGGUGAGUAAUGCCUAGGAAUCUGCCUGUUAGUGGGGGAUAACGUUCCGAAAGGAACGCUAAUACCGCAUACGUCCUACGGGAGAAAGUGGGGGAUCUUCGGAUCUUACGCUAACAGAUGAGCCUAGGUCGGAUUAGCUAGUAGGUGAGGUAAUGGCUCACCUAGGCUACGAUCCGUAACUGGUCUGAGAGGAUGAUCAGUCACACUGGAACUGAGACACGGUCCAGACUCCUACGGGAGGCAGCAGUGGGGAAUAUUGGACAAUGGGCGAAAGCCUGAUCUAGCCAUGCCGCGUGUGUGAAGAAGGUCUUCGGAUUGUAAAGCACUUUAAGUUGGGAGGAAGGUCUGUAAGUUAAUACCUUGCAGUCUUGACGUUACCAACAGAAUAAGCACCGGCUAACUCUGUGCCAGCCGCCGCAGUAACAC